CAGCCGCCGCGGUAAUACGAAGGGGGCUAGCGUUGUUCGGAUUUACUGGGCGUAAAGCGCACGUAGGCGGAUCCUUAAGUCAGAGGUGAAAUCCCAAGGCUCAACCUUGGAACUGCCUUUGAUACUGGGGAUCUCGAGUCCGGGAGAGGUGAGUGGAACUGCGAGUGUAGAGGUGAAAUUCGUAGAUAUUCGGAAGAACACCAGUGGCGAAGGCGACACACUGGCCCAUUACUGACGCUGAGGCUCGAAAGCGUGGGGAGCAAACAGGAUUAGAUACCCCUGUAGUCCCUGUCUCUUAUAC
rnacentral:rRNA from 1 species